rnacentral:lncRNA from 1 species
AGAACUGACAUCAGAAUGUGAAGCAGUAGCUUAUCUCACUACUUGUCUCAUGGCCAGCAUGUGACCCUGGCUGCAAAGCUCUCACCAGGGAAGACUGGCAGGCAUCAAGAGGCUUAGCUUUCACAGGCUCCAGAGAUCUUGUUCUCCAGCCUUCACAUUUACAAGGAGCCCUGCUGCACCUGUGCCAUCCCACAAUAGGGAAACACACCUAGUGAGGGAAUAGCUGGGUCACCAGGCGGAAAGCAAAAUUGCUUGUGUGCACACACAUAAAAGGAACAGUCAAGGGGAUACAGAGCCAGGGAACAAAGUCAGAAGAGAAAGCUAUCAAAAUAUGUUGUUUUGGAAGACUGCUAUGGAUAUCAGAUGUGCCACUCUGCCACCUGAGUCUCACAAGAACCCUGUGAGAGCAAGAAACCAGAGAAUUAUUACCUCUUUCAUGACUGCUACACUCUGUCCAUGAACAUAGCUCAGGGGUGGGCAAACUACGGCCCAGGGGCUGCACCUGACCCCCCCAGAUGUUUUGAUCCGGCCCUCGAGCUCCCGCUGGGGAGCGAGGUCUGGGGCUUGCCCCAUUCUGCG